AUAGUCCAAGCUACAGCAGUUGUUCAAGAUUGGAUAGUAAUGAAAACAAGACUAGUCCUUGAAAUGUAAAACAAGAUUUGAAAUUAGUACCUUGUUUUUGGAAAUGAGGAAUUGAAGGAGAGAUUGUUGUGGAAGUGAAAUUUAGUGAGAGGCCGUAAUGCCAAAAGCCUCCACGCCAUAUUUCCCAAUUUCUAAAGGACGAAAAUGAAAUUCAGCGUAGAACAAAUGAUUACCACAUGCUUGCUGGCUUUGCCCUUGUGCACAGAAAUGACAACGAAGCGAAAGGUGCUGAAUUUAUGGGUAGUGGCUGCAUAAAAGGGUUCAUCUAUAGUAGUAGCUGCAUAACCUAUCUGGGACUGGGGUGGAAUACCCACAUCAUUGUUUUAAAAGAUUUUGGUGGUUAGCAUUAGGAGCACAAGGGGGUUGAGUUUUAGAAGAGUUGGUAUUGUUAAAGAUUAUAUGAACACAAAACAGAAAUUUAUACGCUUCAAAAUUUCAAUCGCACUCACUUUUGGAAUGUAAAGAGAGAGAAAAGAAUCUCAAGAUCUCUGAACCUGGCCACAGCAACAAUAAGAGGAAGCCAAAGGCUGAUACUUUAGGGAGAAAACCCAAUUUGAUUUUGAAGCUCCAAAAUGCCUUUUUGUCAUGGAAACGGCCAUUCAAAGCCCUUGGUUUUUACCUUGCUCUAUUUCAAGACUAAAAUAUAUUUCAAGUCUUGUAU
rnacentral:sRNA from 1 species